rnacentral:rRNA from 1 species
AUUGAACGCUGGCGGCAUGCCUAACACAUGCAAGUCGAGCGGAGCGGCGGACGGGUAAGUAAUGCCUAGGAAUCUGCCUGGUAGUGGGGUAUCCCGUCCGGAAACGGGAGCUAAUAACGCAUACUAUCAGAUGAGCCUCGGUCGGAUUAGCGAGUUGGUGGGGUAAAGGCCUACCAAGGCGACGAUCCGUAACUGGUCUGAGAGGAUGACCAGCCACACUGGAACUGAGACACGGUCCAGACGCCUACGGGAGGCAGCAGUGGGGAAUAUUGGACAAUGGGCGCAAGCCUGAUGCAGCAAUGCCGCGUGUAUGAAGAAGGCCUUCGGGUUGUAAAGUACUUUCAGCGGGGAGGCGUUACCCGCAGAGGAAGCACCGGCUAACUCCGUGCCAGCAGCCGCGGUAAUAC